GGAGAGGUGCUGGAGUGGCCUAUCAGGCGCGCCUGGAGAGCGCGUAGGGCGAAAGCCCUCGAGGGUUCGAAUCCCUCCCUCUCCGCCA
rnacentral:tRNA from 1 species